rnacentral:rRNA from 1 species
CAGCAGUGAGGAAUAUUGGUCAAUAGCCUAACGGCUGAACCAGCAACUUGGAGGAAUGUAUAGCUAAAGCUAAACGUAUUUUGUAAAAAUACAGAUUCGAUUUACUCGUAUAAAGUUCUAGAUAGGAUUAUGAUAAUGACAUUGCCUAUCUAUAUGUCUUGACCAAAUUACGUGCCAGCAGUCGCGGCAAGACGUAAAAGACUAGUGUUAUUCAUCUUUAAUAGGUUUAAAGCGUACCUAGACGGUAAAUAAAGCCUUAACCGGGACUAAUUUAACUAGAGUUAGAUGUAAGGGUGCAUUAACGUACUGUUGAGUGUAGAGAUGAAAUUCUGUUAUACCAGAUUAUUGGCACGGGUUUAGGCGAAAGCAUCGCCUUAUGUAAUAACUGACGUUGAGGGACGAAGGCUUUGUGUCGCGAACAGGAUUAGGUACCCCAGUAGUCUAAGCAGAAAAUGAUGAGUGUCAUAGGUUAAAUAUUAUUUGGUCUAUAAAUGAAAGUGUAAGCACUCCACCUCAAGAGUAAUUUGGCAACAUUGGAAUUGAAAUCAUUAGACCGUUUCUGAAACCAGUAGUGAAGUAUGUUGUUUAAUUAGAUAUUCCACCAAAAACCUUACCACAAUUUGAAUAUUUUACAAGCGUUGCACGGCUGUCUUCAGUUAAUGUCGUGAGAUUAUGGUUAGUUCCAUUAAAUUAACGUAAACCCUUACUUUAUUUUAUUUUA